UACGUAGGUGGCGAGCGUUGUCCGGAUUUACUGGGCGUAAAGGGCGUGCAGGCGGUUUGUUAAGUGAGGGGUGAAAUCCCGAGGCUCAACCUCGGAACUGCCUUUCAUACUGGCAAUCUUGAGUCCGGGAGAGGUGAGUGGAACUCCUAGUGUAGAGGUGAAAUUCGUAGAUAUUAGGAAGAACACCAGUGGCGAAGGCGGCUCACUGGCCCGGAACUGACGCUGAGGUACGAAAGCGUGGGGAGCAAACAGG
rnacentral:rRNA from 1 species